CUGAAACUGGCUGCUACUCCUCUCCUCCCAAAGCUAAAACAAUACAGAACUUUGAACUCUGUUCUGAGAGCAUUUUGCUAAGAGUAACCUGGUCCAUCAUCCAGGAACAAUUUUUCUCCACCUUCCCUCAAAGAUCUUUGACUUCAAAAAGACCCCUCAUGAAUGGACGGCAGGAGGAAUCGGCCCCAGAUGGGGACGUUAGCAACAUCACCUGUCGGCAUCUCUGGAAAUGUUCACAUUUUCAAUUGCACCAAGC
rnacentral:lncRNA from 1 species